CCCUACGCAAGGGAGCGCCUGCGAACUGAAAUUCGAUGCUGAUCGAUCCGUCGGGACUGGCCGGACACCGCAGCCCUCGGAGGCCAUCCGUGCUGCGGAGGGAGGGGAACCGACCCACGGCGUACCUGUUGCAUCAUGGGUCAGCGAGUCGUGGGAAUGCAGCGGCUUAAGCUGGUAGGUGUAGGUUCGACCACGGUGUCGGGUCUCGUUGGUCCCCGCCCGACCCGAACCCGAUUGAUCUAGCCAUCCGCGGGUUAAAGGGGGGGCGUACAGCCCUCGUCGGAGGACCGCACCCCAGCAUGUGGCAGAAUGCGGGGAGGACGGGUGGCUCGGGGUGAAAGGCCAACCAAGAUCGGAGAUAGCUGGUUUUCCGCGAAAUCUAUUUUUGUAGAGCGUCUCGAGAAGUGGGCCGGGGGUAGAGAACCAGGUGGGGGCUGGCACCCCGCCCGACCGUGCCCACCUGGCAACACCGAAGACGGGCCCCGUGUGCUCUCCGUGCAGACAGAGUCUGGGUGCGAAGAUCCGGGCUCGAGAGGGGAAGAGCCCAUAUCGUCCGCUAAGGUCCCGAAGCGAUCACUGCGUGGGGGCACACGAGAGUGAAGGGCGGUAUCCGGCGAUGAACCCCAGGAGGUGGGCUUGGAAGCAGCCAUCCUGGAAGAGAACGCGUACUGGCUCACUGGGAGAGCGGAUCCGACCGAUCAUGAUCGGGGCGGAAGUGGCUCACCGACGCGACGAGACCCACAAUCGGCACCACUCCCCCCCACUCCGCCGGACGAAGGGGCAUGGCCCCACGAGUGUCAGUAGCGGAACGUUCUGUUUUCGAUGUGCCGCUCCCGGAUGGCCGGAGUGCCGGGAACACAGAAGUGAGAAUGCUGACAUGAGUAAGGAUCAAUGGAGAGUGUGACUCGCAUCGCCAGCAGUGGCCGGGUUUCCGCGUACAGUGGAUUCACGCGGGGUUAAGCGGCCCCCGAGACACGCCGAAAGGGCCGACGAUGGGGACCACACCCCAGACGCACAGAUGCCCACGCGAGAACGUCGUAUCGACUACUGACCGGGCGGAUGGCUCGAUGCUGGGCAUGGUGGGUUUGGGGAGCCGCCCGUGCCCCGAUCGGUACGGGAUCCGGGGGCAGAGCGGACACUGACAAGAGAUGCGGGGGUUCGGGAUCGGCGGGCAGGGGCGGCGAUCGUGGGUCCGCCCGGGGAGUGGCCAUGGCCGGGUUCGAGUGGGGGCGGGGUCGGAGGGCCAUGCAUGACCGUCCCCCGAUCGUGGGUCUGAUCCGCCUCUCCCCCGGCGCAUCCCAGCAGCCCACCCCGCGCCCUGGCAUGCCCCGAGCGGACCGGCCGGGGCGGGACGGAGGAAGCACGGGGAACGACCACACCCGCACCAACCGCUCUGGCCGUCCCCCCACCCGGAUCCGUAUCCGCCGUAACUGAACCCGACACAGGUGCACUGGUGAUUCGACACUGGGGCGCGGGAGAACCAUGCUGAAGGAACCCGGCAAAACGACCCCGUAACCUCGGGAGAAGGGGGUCUCACGGCCAUGGCCCGGAGAGGGGCACGGCAGCGGGGGUAGCGACUGUUUAAUAAAAACACAGGACUCUGCGAACUGCGCACACGACGUAUAGAGUCUGACACUUGCCCGGUGCUGGAAGGGGAAGAGGAGAGGCUAUCCGACGCGCCCCGACUCGACUUCCCGGUAAACGGCGGCAGUAACUCUAACUGUCCUAAGGUAGCGAAAUUCCUUGUCGCAUAAGUAGCGACCUGCACGAAUAGUGUAACGACUGCCCCGCUGUCUCCAGCAGGGACCCACUGAAAUUGACCUGUCCGUGAAGAGGCGGAUUGCCCUCGGCUAGACGGUAAGACCCCGUGCACCUUUACUAUAGCUUCGGACUGGCACCAUGGUUCGACUGCCGAGCAUAGGUGGGGUUGGGGGGCGAGUGCGGGGCGACCCGUGCCAUCCCUCCCCGCUCGUGAAAUACCACUCCAGCGUGACCCGUGUGCCUCACUCCCCGUGCGAUCGGGGCGGACCCUUCCUGGUUGGUAGUUUCUCUGGGGCGGAUACCCCCCAAAGAGUAGCGGGGGCGCGCACAAGGCGGGCUGGACCGAAUCCGGGCUGGGGUUGGUGCCGCGCACGGGUAUACGCCUGCCUGACUGUGAGACCGACCCGUCGAACAGAGACGAAAGUCGGCCCGAGUGAUCCGGGAGCCCGGUGUGGAAUGGCUCCCGCUCGACGGAUCACAGGUACGCCGGGGAUAACAGGCUGAUGAGUCCCCAGAGAUCAUAUCGACGGAUUCGCUUGGCACCUCGAUGUCGACUCAUCGCUACCUGGGGCUGGAGCUGGCCCCAAGGGUUCGGUUGUUCGCCGAUUCAUGCGGCACGUGAGUUGGGUUUAGAACGUCGUGAGACAGUUCGGUUUCUAUCUACCGCGGGAUCGGGUCGAGAACUGUCGUGGAGUUGCCCCCAAGUACGAGAGGACGGGGAGCAGGCAACCCCUGGUGUACCGGUUGUACGGCCGAGUGCAGCGCCGGGUGGCUACGUUGGUCCGGACCAACGGCUGAAGGCAUAUAAGCCGGAAGUCACUCUAAAGCCAUGUUCUCCGUGAUGCUGGGUGGGAGAGCACCACUUCGAUGGGCGAGAGGUGCCACACCGCACUGUGAUCGCCGACUCGUCCCAACUG
rnacentral:rRNA from 1 species